UCUGAAGUAGCCUACGACCGAAGAUAAAUGGUUGGACAAAGUUGUUGUUACACAAAUCCAAGAUCUCAAGCUCCUGCAGUUCUGUUACCUCCUCAGGGACUUCAAGUGAGUUAAGUUUCCGAGUUCAGGUGCAAUUGUUCCUUGUAGAGAGAGAUCUCUUAGAUUUCUACGUUAUAAGACAUCAAAUUGGUAACACAGCUGGGAUUUAUAUUAUUUUAAGGAUUUGGAUA